CCUACGGGAGGCAGCAGUGGGGAAUAUUGGGCAACGGAGGAAACUCUGACCCAGCGACGCCGCGUGCGGGAUGAAGGCCUUCGGGUUGUAAACCGCUUUCAGCAGGGAAUAAGCGCAAGUGAAGGUACCUGCAGAAGAAGCACCGGCUAACUAUGUGCCAGCAGCCGCGGUAAUACAUAGGGUGCAAGCGUUGUCCGGAAUUAUUGGGCGUAAAGAGCUCGUAGGUGGUUUGUUACGUCGGUUGUGAAAUUCAGGGGCUCAACCCCUGACUUGCAGCCGAUACGGGCAAGCUAGAGUUUGGUAGGGGAGACUGGAAUUCCUGGUGUAGCGGUGGAAUGCGCAGAUAUCAGGAGGAACACCGAUGGCGAAGGCAGGUCUCUGGGCCAAUACUGACACUGAGGAGCGAAAGCGUGGGGAGCGAACAGGAUUAGAUACCCUGGUAGUCCACGCCGUAAACGGUGGGCGCUAGUUGUGCGAACCUUCCACGGUUUGUGCGACGCAGCUAACGCAUUAAGCGCCCCGCCUGGGGAGUACGAUCGCAAGAUUAAAACCGUCAAUUCGUUUGAGCGG
rnacentral:rRNA from 1 species